rfam:Plautia stali symbiont DNA, complete genome.
ACCUGCGCCGCCAUCUCACGAUCGCUCAGGCCACCGCAAAUCUGAAUCAAACGGUCAGAGAGCGUUGAUUUGCCGUGGUCAAUGUGAGCGAUAAUGGAGAAGUUUCGUAUGUGCUUCAUUUAUAUGAAUAUCUUCACGUAUAAAAUUAGUUGAAAACGUGAGCACAGACACAUUCAGGCAAGUGAGCUUUACCCGGAACCCUGUCAGCCUCAUUAAUGACGACGCAUAUUACACUGUUAACGCCGCGCGUUAAAGAAUAGAACUGCGGGGAAUCGCAACAGAAUUCAGCGAUUAAGACGAAAUGAAAAGGCCGCGCAAUACGCGGCCCGAACGGAGAUCAACGGUGGUUUUCCACCCGUAGCGCAUCGGGCGGGUGCGCUACGCUGAGAAUCACUGGCUGGAACGCUUCGCGAUCGCCAAACCGGCUAGAAACCCCUUUGGCAACAAUAAAGCCGCCAACGCCACCAAGCAGCGCACCGCAGGCCGCCGCCAGGUCGCUGUGGAACAGCAUCUGGAACAGGCCCGCGACCAGGAACAGACCAAACAGCGGCGUCAUAUACACCAGCAGCGAAGAACCGAGCAGGCUGCUUUCGCGAAUGCCCAGCUCAAUGCGCUGGCCCGGCUGCAGCGGCUCCGGACUGGCGAUGGUCAUCACAUGGGCGUUUUUCGGUCCCAGCUGGUUGAGCGCAUGGCUGCCGCAGCCUUUGCGCGCGGAACAACUGUUGCAGGAGGUUUUCGCUUCCGAAUGCAGAGUAGCGACGCCCUCUUUCCAUGCCACCACGGUGGCCCAUUCUCUCAUCAUUUUGUAGCACCUGAAUCUAUGCUGUCCGCGAUACGU